GUAUACAUAUUCAGUGAGUCAGGUAUGUCAGGUGACUUCCUGUCUGUAGGGAGUGAGGGGAAAACAGUAACUCAGUGAUUAGACUGUAGGACGUAUACAUAUUCAGUGAGUCAGGUAUGUCAGGUGACUUCCUGUCUGUAGGGAGUGAGGGGAAAACAGUAACUCAGUGAUUAGACUGUAGGACGUAUACAUAUUCAGUGAGUCAGGCAUGUCAGUAGGUGACUUCCUGUCUGUAGGGAGUGAGGGGAAAACAGUAACUCAGUGAUUAGACUGUAGGACGUAUACAUAUUCAGUGAGUCAGGUAUGUCAGGUGACUUCCUGUCUGUAGGGAGUGAGGGGAAAACAGUAACUCAGUGAUUAGACUGUAGUACGUAUACAUAUUCAGUAAGUCAGGUAUGUCAGUAGGUAACUUCCUGUCUGUAGGGAGUGAGGGGAAAACAGUAACUCGGUGAUUAGACUGUAGUACGUAUACAUAUUCAGUGAGUCAGGUAUGUCAGUAGGUAACUUCCUGUCUGUAGGGAGUGAGGGGAAAACAAUAGCUCAGUGAUUAUAGUACGUAGGUAUACAUAUUUAGUGAGUCAGGCAUGUCAGUAGGUGACUUCCUGUCUGUAGGGAGUGAGGGGAAAACAGUAACUCAGUGAUUAGACUGUAGGACGUAUACAUAUUCAGUGAGUCGGGUAUGUCAGUAGGUGACUUCCUGUCUGUAGGGAGUGAGGGGAAAACAGUAACUCAGUGAUUAGACUGUAGGACGUAUACAUAUUCAGUGAGUCAGGUAUGUCAGUAGGUGACUUCCUGUCUGUAGGGAGUGAGGGGAAAACAGUAACUCAGUGAUUAGACUAUAGUAAGUAUACAUAUUCAGUGAGUCAGGCAUGUCAGUAGGUGACUUCCUGUCUGUAGGGAGUGAGGGGAAAACAAUAGCUCAGUGAUUAUAGUACGUAGGUAUACAUAUUCAGUGAGUCAGGCAUGUCAGUAGGUGACUUCCUGUCUGUAGGGAGUGAGGGGAAAACAGUAACUCAGUGAUUAGACUGUAGGACGUAUACAUAUUCAGUGAGUCAGGUAUGUCAGGUGACUUCCUGUCUGUAGGGAGUGAGGGGAAAACAGUAACUCAGUGAUUAGACUGUAGUACGUAUACAUAUUCAGUGAGUCAGGUAUGUCAGUAGGUGACUUCCUGUCUGUAGGGAGUGAGGGGAAAACAGUAACUCAGUGAUUAGACUGUAGUACGUAUACAUAUUCAGUGAGUCAGGUAUGUCAGGUGACUUCCUGUCUGUAGGGAGUGAGGGGAAAACAGUAACUCGGUGAUUAGACUGUAGAACGUAUACAUAUUCAGUGAGUCAGGUAUGUCAGGUGACUUCCUGUCUGUAGGGAGUGAGGGGAAAACAGUAACUCAGUGAUUAGACUGUAGAACGUAUACAUAUUCAGUGAGUCAGGUAUGUCAGUAGGUAACUUCCUGUCUGUAGGGAGUGAGGGGAAAACAAUAGCUCAGUGAUUAGACUGUAGUAUGUAUACAUAUUCAGUGAGUCAGGUAUGUCAGUAGGUGACUUCCUGUC